rnacentral:rRNA from 1 species
UACGUAGGGGGCUAGCGUUGUCCGGAUUUAUUGGGCGUAAAGAGCGUGUAGGCGGCCAAGUAGGUCCGGUGUGAAAACUCGAGGCUCAACCUCGAGACGUCGAUGGAAACCGUAUGGCUAGAGUCCGGAAGAGGAGAGUGGAAUUCCUGGUGUAGCGGUGAAAUGCGCAGAUAUCAGGAAGAACACCCGUGGCGAAGGCGGCUCUCUGGGACGGUACUGACGCUGAGACGCGAAAGCGUGGGGAGCGAACAGG